GACUCCAGGAAAGUAUCAAAUGAACGACACACAUGGUUCAGUCUAACAAGUGGAGACACAGACCCCAUAAGGUACAAAAUGAAAGGUACAACUAGUAAGGUCUAAAACAGUGAAUAUAGACCGCAUACAAUAUCAAAUGAAAGAUACGUCUAGCGAGGCCUAAAACAGUGAACACAGUGAAUACAGUGGAUUCUGUGAAUACAGUGGAUACAGACCCCAGACAGCAUCAAAUGAAAGAUACGUCUUGUAAGGUCAAAACAGAGGAGACAGACCCCAGACAGCAUCAAAUGAAAGAUACGUCUUGUAAGGUCAAAACAGUGUGACUCUGAAAAUGAGUUACCAGCAUACAGUGUAAAUAGCUGGCGAAAUACCGUUACCUUAAAGCCAUGGAUUAUA
rnacentral:lncRNA from 1 species